rnacentral:tRNA from 1 species
GGGGGUAUAGCUCAGUUGGUAGAGCAGCUGACUCUUAAUCAGUAGGUCCGGUGUUCGAGUCACCGUGCCCCCACCA